rnacentral:lncRNA from 1 species
GCUUAGCAACCUGCUCGGGACCCCUCUCUGUGACUGUGAGCUGUUCUGUUCUUUUGCCUAUUAAACUCCUGCUCCAAACUCACUCGAUGUGUGUGUGCAUGUCCUUGACCUCAAUAUCUGGUCGUGUGACCAAGAACCUCAGUAUUCACCCCAGACAACAAGGCUGCUUCAUUUUGAGGGCUCGUCUGGGAUUUGAAGGUGACUUCAUCAGAAUGCUUUGCUGCUAAAGGGAUCUGCAGUCCAGCUGAAAACCUGCCCUUGCCUGAGCCCAGCCACUUUCUCCCAGAGAAAACUGGAGAACCUAAACAUGAUUGUGAACAGAAUGGCUUCCGGUGGCCUGGGACUCCUUGGGGAAACAGAAAAUGCACCACAAAUCCCAUUUUAGGAAAAAUCUGUUUUCCUCGGAGCCCCUGGAAUUAAAGAAACCAUCAAGCUUCAGAUGGUGCUGAAAAUGGAGCCGAAAAUGAAACUGCCCUCCUACGAGGGACCCUUAAAUCAACCCCAGGAGGAGCCCUAGCUGCUGUUCCCCACACAACGCCACUCUCCAGCAGGAAGUAGCCAGAAGAAAUCGUCACCCAGUUUCCCCUAGCAGCAGUUAUGGAUUUCAUUCCUGAGGGGGGAAAUAUGUUAUAGGAGGCAGAAAGAAAUGAUUUAGGUAGACAUUUAGGGUAAAGUGAGUCCCCAGCAGAAAACUUUCCUUUUAACAAAAAGCAGCUCAAAAAUAGCUCCCUUUCUAACCUCAUGCAGUUCAAAAAAAAAGCACUUCUCUUCUAACAACAAGCAGCCUGAAAGUUCAGGCUGUAAAACACAGAGAAGAUGGCUUGAGCACAGAAAGGGAGGGGGAAGUCUCCUGGGUAAUCACCAAACUUCACAUUUACACAGUGGGCCCCAGUAAAACAGUGGGUCUUAAUAAGCAUAUUCCUUCCCUUUAGGCGCAGUAAGAUUGAGGAGCUAAAAACAGACUUGGGUGGAUGUCUGCAGCUGCAAGAAGAUGUGUGGGAACAGACACAGAAACUCUCCCUCCCAGAUAAGCAAGACAAAGAAACACAGAAUAAGAGUCCAUCUAUGUGGUCAGAGAAUGGGAUAAGAGCUGAUUUAAAAAAACUCUGCUCUAUAUAGAAGGCACACCUGGUCCCAACCAAACCACUGGACCCUAGGAGGAUAAGACCUCCUCUGCUCAUGAGCCCCCUCCUCAGUAGCCCAUUUAUAAAAACCCUGACAAUUUUACUACCACUUGGCAACCCGCUCGGGACCCCUCUCUGUGAUGGAGAGCUGUUCUUUUCUUUUGCCUAUUAAACUCCUGCUCCAAACUCA